CCAAAAAUGAAGGUUGGGAUUGGUUUUGGGGGUGAUGGUUCCACUCGUUUAGGGAAAAGGGGCCAAAACGAGCAUUUUUCUGGUUUCUGCACAAUAUCUUGUGAAUAACUUCUUUUUUGAUUGCUCCAAAAUUGUACCACAAGGUUAAAUACCACAAGUAGAAGGUUUGGAUUGAUUUUGGGGGUAAUUGCCAAAACCGUUCAGGAAAGAGGGGCAAAAAAGG
rnacentral:lncRNA from 1 species